ACAAGAGAGAUCGAUGCUAUGGAGGAACUUACCUGGGAUUAUGGUGUCCCAUUCAACCAAGAUGUGUUUCCCACGAGUCCGUUCCAUUGUCGAUGUGGUAGUGAGUUCUGUCGGGUCACUAAGCAGAUAAGCAAAGGUAAGAAUGUGAAGAAGCGAGCAUGAGAGCUUUACAUUGGUAGUUUUUGAAGAUAUGUGGUGGUGCAAUCUCUUUUUUUUUUUUUGUUGAACGAAUUGGCAAAAAAAUUCCAAUCGAAAAAACUUUUUUGUCAAAAAUCCGACAAGGCAUAUAAGCAAAGUCGGUCGGUCCAUUAAAUAGGAAUCAAAGGAUGACACUUUUAUCCUUAGAAACUGGAUUCACUUUUGUGAUAUCAAACUCGUGUAUAUCUUAACUUUAGGUUCUAACGGCUAUGGCUUUUGUUUGACUUA